rnacentral:lncRNA from 1 species
GUCAAAGUAUUCUCUUCUUCUUUGCACCUACCAUGGGUGCCUGGAUUGCAAGUGGGAAAUUGAGUAACUCUUUGAAUGAUCUCAAGAUGCUCUUCAACAGAACCAUCUCUUCUACAUAAAUAAUCUUUUGGCAAUGCCAUAUGAUUGUUAAUAUUGGAAUACUACCAUCUCUGAGGAAUCAAAGAUUAAUAAUAUACAAUUGCUGACUUUAUAGAACUUGUAAUCAAAUGGAAGAGGUGUAAUGGACAUUUUUUUAAAAAAGAGGUACGUCAGGAAAAUGUGGCACUGCUAAAAAUCCCGCCGUUUGGAGAAGAAAGGAAAGAUUGAUGGGUGGCUACCAUGCAUCCAACUUGUUAUCCAACAGUAAAUGUUAUGCAUUUCAACAAUUUUCAAUAGACCAUCCAGGUUAUUUUGUUGUACAGCACUUGGUACAUGGAGCCCUCUGUUAUACCAACCAUGUCUGCAAGAACAAAUGAACACGUGGACCAUUUCUCAGAAUGUGUGUCCCAUUCGGUACUUUGUAUCAUUGAAGCAUUUUUUAAAAUGCACAGAAGAGAACAGAAGGAAGGUCACAGAGAGAAACAGACAAGCCAGAUGACUUUG